CUAAAUCCUAAAGACAGUUUCGCGUUCCUUACAUACAUCUCCCUGUAUCUCCGCCAGAGCCGCUGCCAGAUGAAAACCCCACCACCUUCGUUGCCUCCAAAAAUAACAACCCAAAUUCCCCAAAUGAUUUCCAUUGAAUCCACCUAGAAAGCUUCGAAUCAUCCACCAAAGCUUUUCCGGCCACAUCGCCAGUUAUGCCAAUGGCCGCCAAAUUAAAACCCUUGAUUCUCCUGAGCCUUCUCUACCCAACCUCCGUAACCACAGGUCUCGAAUCUUGCCGAAACUUCACGAAUUGUCGUUUGAAGAUUUUCCGGCGAAACCCUAAUAUCGUCAAAUUCUUCCAAGAUUAAUACCAAAUGACCCUCUAGCCUUCCUUGUAGUAAAUUGAUCAUCAGUCAAGCCUUAUUUUUUUUAGAGUUGGUCGUGUUCGAAGUUGGAGAUUUAACCGGAGUCUUGAAGUGAGUUAGUAAGUUUUUGAGUUUAGUUUCCUUCUAUUUUCUUGGUGUUCACUGACCUUCCAUGGCUAUGUAGUUUCUUAAAUUCGUUUAAUAAUAACUGUUCAUCCAAAAGUCAAUAGUUUUCCUUAGUUAUGUUCAUAUCUAUUUACUCUUUUAGUUUUUAGGUUAAGCGGUUAUUGGUUUCUGUCAACAAUUUGAUUUCAAUUCAAUCUUCUCUGUUAGAUAAUGGUUUGUAGUAUUAGGUUUCAAUCAUGAUUUUGUUUAUUCGGUAAUUGUUCGAACGUCGCUUUAUUAUUGAUCUUGGUCAGUUUAAUUCAUAGUUAGUUCUUGAUGUUUAUUUGAUAAUUCGAUUUAGUGAAUAGGUUAACCAAGGUUUCGAAUUAGGGUGAUAUUUUUGUAGUUGGAUAAUUCAGAUUAAGAGUUGUUUUUGUAUAGCUGCUGGUUAGCUCACACUCGAGGGUAAAUUAGGUAGUUCAAGAGAAUGGAAUCUAGGAUGAACUUCCUAGGAGCUUCUAGAUGGGGUUCUUUUAGGUGAUUUGCAAAAGAUUACUUGGAUAAAUAGUCAUAAAAUAAGGGACUAAAUGGGUAAAUAAACAGAGACUGGAUUAAAAGUAGAAAACUAAGGGCUGCCUGUUAGUUUAAAUAUAUAAGGAAGUCAUUUUUGCCUUGAAAAAGGAGUAGAGAGACCCCCUUGAAAAUUCAAAAGCUUCAGCCAUAAGAAAUUCCCAAAAGCUCACUAUCUCUUUCUCUAAAUUUCAGAUUAGCAUUUGAACUCAAAUAUUAAAAAAAAAUACAAAAACAUCAAAAAAUUGAAAAACCAAAAACAUUUUCACUGUUUCAUUGCCUAUUUCAGUCAAUUUCCAGAUUCUACUUUUGUGUUCUUCAUUUCUGUUCAGAACUUGCAUUCUAAAAGUAUUUGGAGGUAUUUAAUAACCCAUUCAAGUAAAUUUGGGCCUGUUCAGUGUGAACCUCAUUUGAAUAUUGUUCCAGUGAAGUCCUAAGGCAUUUUUAGUUCAAUUUCGACUAAAUUUAGGGUGCAUUUGAGUGGUUUUCUCGGGCUGUGAUUCAAUUUCUGGGUUGUGCAUUCGUUAUGGUCUGGUUAUCUGGUGGUCUGAUGCUGCUCAUCUGACUUUAGUCGCUGAUUUUCCCUUCUUCUUCUUUGAAUCUUCAUAUCCAGGUACAUGACUUGCGAUCCUAUGUCUGUAACCUCACAUGAUUGGAAUAUGAAAUGAAUUGAUGAUGAUUCUCUACUGUGCACUUGAAGUUCUGAUAGAUUUGUCACUUUAGAUAGUAUUCUGUAAUCUAAUUGUUUGUUUGUUAUCACCAAAACUCUGUAUUAAUCCUGGACUGUUUAGAUACUUGUGAGCAUUAGAGUUGAUAAACAGUAAAUAUUAGAAAUUGUUUUGGUCGAGUGAGUGGCGGAGUAUAAUUGGGAAGUCAUGAAAACUGGAACGUGAAUGAUUUAGAGUCUAUGAUUUUUUAUCAUGACUGGUAAUUGCAAUCUGAAAGCAUUUGAUGUUUUGAUUUAGUGCAGUAUAACUCAUAUCAUUAAUCCUCUAGUUUAAUGCUUUAUUAAAGUUUAGUAACUACAGCUUCACAUAAGUUAGCUUAUUCGAAUAACCAAGGUCUAAUUUUAAUCUCAUUUAUUAUCUCAUG
rnacentral:lncRNA from 1 species